GUACACUCCUACGGGAGGCAGCAGUGGGGAAUUUUGGACAAUGGGCGAAAGCCUGAUCCAGCAAUGCCGCGUGAGUGAAGAAGGCCUUCGGGUUGUAAAGCUCUUUUGUCAGGGAAGAAACGGUGAGAGCUAAUAUCUCUUGCUAAUGACGGUACCUGAAGAAUAAGCACCGGCUAACUACGUGCCAGCAGCCGCGGUAAUACGUAGGGUGCAAGCGUUAAUCGGAAUUACUGGGCGUAAAGCGUGCGCAGGCGGUUUUGUAAGUCUGAUGUGAAAUCCCCGGGCUCAACCUGGGAAUUGCAUUGGAGACUGCAAGGCUAGAAUCUGGCAGAGGGGGGUAGAAUUCCACGUGUAGCAGUGAAAUGCGUAGAUAUGUGGAGGAACACCGAUGGCGAAGGCAGCCCCCUGGGUCAAGAUUGACGCUCAUGCACGAAAGCGUGGGGAGCAAACAGGAUUAGAUACCCUGGUAGUCCCA
rnacentral:rRNA from 1 species